AGUUCAAUGGUGUAAAGGUAGCACAACAGUUUUUGGUUCUGUUUGUCUUGGUUCGAAUCCAGGUUGAACUACGA
rnacentral:tRNA from 1 species